rnacentral:rRNA from 1 species
GAUGAACGCUAGCGGCAGGCCUAAUACAUGCAAGUCGAACGGUGUCUUCGGACAUAGUGGCGCACGGGUGCGUAACACGUAUGCAACCUACCUUACAUUGGGGGAUAGCCUUUCGAAAGGGAGAUUAAUACCGCAUAAGACAGUAGCUGGGCAUCCAGCAGCUGUUAAAGAUUUAUCGAUGUAAGCUGGGCAUGCGUCCAAUUAGCUAGUUGGUGAGGUGACGGCUAACCAAGGCAAUGAUUGGUAGGGGAACUGAGAGGUCAAGCCCCCACACUUGCACUGAGAUACGAGCCAGACUCCUACGGGAGGCAGCAGUAGGGAAUAUUGGGCAAUGGACGCAAGUCUGACCCAGCCAUGCCGCGUGCAGGAUGAAGGCGUUAUGCGUUGUAAACUGCUUUUAUACAGGAAGAAACGACUCUUGCGAGAGGCAUUGACGGUACUGUAUGAAUAAGCACCGGCUAACUCCGUGCCAGCCGCCGCAGUAAAAC